GAAUUCACUAGUGAUUCAGGCCUAACACAUGCAAGUCGAGCGGAUGACGGGAGCUUGCUCCUGGAUUCAGCGGCGGACGGGUGAGUAAUGCCUAGGAAUCUGCCUGGUAGUGGGGGACAACGUUUCGAAAGGAACGCUAAUACCGCAUACGUCCUACGGGAGAAAGCAGGGGACCUUCGGGCCUUGCGCUAUCAGAUGAGCCUAGGUCGGAUUAGCUUGUUGGUGAGGUAAUGGCUCACCAAGGCGACGAUCCGUAACUGGUCUGAGAGGAUGACCAGCCACACUGGAACUGAGACACGGUCCAGACUCCUACGGGAGGCAGCAGUGGGGAAUAUUGCACAAUGGGCGCAAGCCUGAUGCAGCCAAGGGGCGUGUAUGAAGAAGGCCUUCGGGUGUAAACUAAAUGGGCGGGGAGGAAGGGAGUAAAGUUAAUA
rnacentral:rRNA from 1 species